rnacentral:lncRNA from 1 species
GGGACAGGUGAGAGAGACACAGGUGAGAGACACACGAAGGAUGGACAGGUGAGACACAGGUGAGAUACAGACAGGUGAAGCACAGGUGAGGGAUGGACAGGUGUCACCAGGUAACCCCACCCUCCUUCCCCCCUCACCUGGCGGCUCCUCGCACGCCACGUUGGCCACCGCACCUGUCCCGCAGGUACCUGGGCGGAGCCUCGGGCACUCGAUCAGCAGCUGCUCAUUGCCCCGACAGGUGAGCUCCAACAGGUGAGGCUCCGACAGGUGAGGCUCCGUGGGCUCCAGGUGCGGCCCCGCAGGUGCGCUGAGGGCGGGGCCGCAGCCCAGCUGCCGGCACAGCACCUGCGCCUCGGGCAGCCCCCAGGUGAGGCCGCACACCUGCAGCCAGGUGCGGUUCAGCAGCACCUGCACCUGCCCCGAGCAGGGCCCGGCCCCGCCCCGCAGCCGCACCUGGGGGGGAUCCGCACCUGGGGGGGGAGGGGACACGGGGUCAGGGGGCGGGGACGGGGGGGGACAGGUGAGCGCACCUGGGGACACCUGGGCACACCUGAGAUCAUCUGGGGGCACCUGGGGACAGGUGGGGACACCUGGUGAGCACCUGGGCACACCUGAGCUGAUCUGACCUGAUCUGGGCACACCUUGGGGGUACCUCAGGACACCUGGGCACACCUGGCAGCACCUGGGGGUACCUGGGGGCACACCUGAGCUCACCUGAACCCACCUGAGUUAAUCUGAGCACACCUGGGCUCACCUGAACCUACCUGAGCUCACCUGAGCACUCCUGAGCUCACCUGGGGGUACCUGGGCACACCUGGGGGCAUCUGGGGAUACCUGAACAGACCUGAUAACACCUGAGCUCACCUGGGGGUGCACCUGAGCUCACCUGCGCACACCUGUCCAGCUGCUCACCUGUUCCCCCAGGUGCACACCUGUCGCUCACCUGUGCACACCUGUUCCCCGUACCUGUCCCAGGUGCUCCCAGGUACUCACCUGUUCACACCUGUUCACACCUGUCCCUCACCUGUCCCAGGUGCUCAGCUUUUACCCACCAGGUGCUCACUUUUACCGUCCCAGGUGCUCACCUGUCCUUGCUCACCUGUGCACACCUGUUCCCUCCAUGUGCCCACCUGUGCCCCUUUACCUGUGCCAGGUGCUCCCAGGGGCUUACCUGUCCCUGUACCUGUGCCAGGUGCUCACCUGUCCCUCACCUGUCCCCUCAUCUGUGCCAGGUGCUCACCUGUCUUAGAUGCUCACCUGUGCUCACCUGUCCCCUCACCU